GCUACGGGAGGCAGCAGUGAGGAAUAUUGGUCAAUGGGCGCGAGCCUGAACCAGCCAAGUAGCGUGAAGGAUGACUGCCCUACGGGUUGUAAACUUCUUUUAUAAAGGAAUAAAGUGAGGCACGUGUGCCUUUUUGUAUGUACUUUAUGAAAAAGGAAAGGCUAACUCCGUGCCAGCAGCCGCGGUAAUAUGGAGGGUCCGAGCGUUAUCCGGAUUUAUUGGGUUUAAAGGGAGCGUAGAUGGGUUGGUAAGUCAGUUGUGAAAGUUUGCGGCUCAACCGUAAAAUUGCAAUUGAUACUGGCAGCCUUGAGUACAGUUGAGGUAGGCGGAAUUCGUGGUGUAGCGGUGAAAUGCUGAGAUAUCACGAAGAACUCCGAUUGCGAAGGCAGCUUACUAAACUGCCACUGACAUUGAUGCUCGAAAGUGUGGGUAUCAAACAGGAUUAGAUACCCGGGUAGUC
rnacentral:rRNA from 1 species